rnacentral:tRNA from 2 species
GCGCCUGUAGCUCAAUAGGAUAGAGCAUCUGCCUUCUAAGCAGAGGGUUGCCCGUUCGAUUCGGGCCAGGCGCG